CGCGUUCGUGUAAGAGCAUCCAUUGCAUCCACCCAGCAGCAUUGUUGAUGUUUAUAAAGCGGUGAGAAAAAAUCGCCGAACUGGGACUUCAGCGAACACCAAUUAUUACUAUAGAACAGAAAAAUCUUGCUUGUUAAUCCAGAGAGAUGACCUGGUUGUAGAAUACCACAAAUAUUCUUCAGCAUGUAUGGGAGACGUGAAGGAAGAGGAGGCUACCGUGAUGGUGGUGGAGAUGGUGGCGGUUGGAGAGGAGAAAGUGGUGGAGGAU